rnacentral:lncRNA from 1 species
UUUGUACCGUGCAGCGUUUUCUGGGAGGAAAAUCCUAUAGGCGAAGCCGCAUGGAUUCUCGGUGGCACAGCUCGGUGGCUUCGUGGCUGAGCAGCUCCCAGGCGGGGAGCGUGCAGGUCUUGCAAACUUUCUGAGCUUUAACCCUUUGCAAUGAAACUUUCCAGGCGAGGUGUCUGCAUCCAGGUAAUUGUAACGCGUCUACAUGUUGGUUUUGGAAAGCUCAAGCAAAAGUAAUUCAGCUGGUUUUGAUACAGUGGGGCUUUUGGAUGGGAUGGGGGGGGAAGAAUUGCAGCAGUUUUCCACGUAAAGAUGAAGUUGUUACAAGUUUUCAAAGAGUUUUUUUUUUCUUUCUUUUGUUUUAUUUUGAAUACAGCUUAGAGGCAUUUCUCCUUCGUGAGUGCUUUCAGAUUUAAGUGAUAUUUGUGGUGGUUACCCAUUGGUUUUGUGUGCGUCUUGCUAAGACCAGAAGUUGUGCUGUUGAUAGAAGAUGUGUGGUGAGAAGCCUAUUCAGACACUCGGGAGGUGAGGGGCUGCCUGUGUGUGCCAACAGGGGGAUGGUUAUUAAGCACCGGUUCCGCAGCUGACACAGUGGGCAUCCUGGCAGACCUCUGCUCCGCUCACUGUUUGUUUGGAAAGUGUUGACUUUGAGCUUUUUGUAGGCAGAAGUCUUCAGUGAUGGCGUUUAGGACUUCCCCAACCCCUGAUGCAGUAGCAAGAAAACUUAUUUUCUCCUACAGUUCAUCUGGGCAGAGGACAGGAUUUCCCAGCAUUGUCCGUGCUGCACUUUCAGAGUUGGGGGGGUGCACACAAAACGUAGAGCUCUGCUGCUUUGCAACAAAUCUCUAGCAUCUAUGUUUUGUGUUGAGCUUCCUACUGAGGAAAGGGAAAGAAAGGCCAAACAAAUAGGAAAAGUGUUAUAAAAACUUAACAAAAUGUGCUUAUGGGGAUGUCGAGGUUGCGUAUGUAAGCAUCCUAGUGGCAAAGUAUGAAAUAGGAGUUUGUCGACCUUAUCUCUGUCCUUUGAAAUCUCCACAGUGACUGUUUCCUUUGCACUCUUAAACAUAGUUGUAGAUGAACUAAAUUGGAUGUGGUGUUUCCCAGUUAAAAAUUAAGGAAGUAAAAUAGAAGUUAAUUCUGUGGAAUGGGAUUUAUUUUCGUUUCACUCGUGAAAUGAAAUAACAUAAAGCAGCAUCCUCUUGAUAGCCGAAUGAUAGUAUUGCGAAUUGAUGCUGUGUGUUAGUCACUACAUACACUAGUAGGGUUUUAUGUAAGUCUUUGGAAUACUACUUGCCCAUCAGAAAUUGUAUGUAGAUUCCUCUGCAGUAAUUUUCAGACUGUGUUUUGGGUACUUUUCUGUAUUUGCUGGGGUCUGUUUGCAAUUGGCAGGCAAUCUCCAGUGGACUAUUUGGGCAUAUGGCAUUGGCUCGUUUUCCUUGUACUUAUCUACUAAUGACAUUAAAAGAAGCCAAGAUGCAUUAAGUACCUCUCUAAUAUUAAUUAUCUUGAUAAGAAGCUGCUUCAGAUACUGUUAGAGCUGCAGACGUAUACCGAUGAUAUGUGAUCGGUGUGAAGGCAAAUGUGGGGAAUAGGGUCAGAAGGAAACUGGGUGCGAUCUGUGAAGGUCUGUUGAAAUGCUGUUGGUGCCACAAAAAAAUGGAGCACUCGGUGACCCGGUAACGUUGGAACAAAGGCGCAGGCACUUGAUUCAAGGAACACAAAAUCUGGCAUUACCGCCACUUUUGUCGUGCAGGAAUAAUUUUUGUCAAGUAAGACUGCUGGGUUCCUCUGAGUAAAGGUUUACAGCCCUUAAAUAGCUCUUCCUGACACUAAGCGGUAUCCCUUUUGUGCUUUACGAGUGUGCUAGAAAGGCUGGCUACCAGCAUUGGUGCUGAUGAAUGGAAAAGAAAGAAAUUUACGACAUCAGAUACUUUCCUAAGUUAUUUCCCUUGUUGUUAGUUAUUUCGAAGCAUUAGACUGCCUCGCUUGAAUAUAAUUAAUGUAGUAAAUGGUUUGUUAGGCACCAGCUGACCUUUUGUCUUGUUUAAUUAUAGAAGCUUAGUGCAGUGGUCUGUGUACAAUGUUUGGCCAAAAUAAUUGCUUUCAGACUUUUAUCUGACCAUGGCUAUUUUUGGAGCCUGCGUGCAUGGCAUGCAGGUUUUUUUUUUUCCCUCAACUUUGCACUUUUUUAGGUUCUCAUUUGUAGCUGUGCCACUGUGUUUCCAAUUCGCAAAACCAAAACAUACUCCGUUGCUGCAUGAUUUUGUUGGUAGUCGUACAGAGCAAUAGUCUGCGUGCUGUCACAGCGUAUGUUUUGAUCUUGCCCCUCAUAUUUAGAAUCCAUCCAACCAUGGCGCACAUGGGAAAGUUGCUAUUGAUUCGUUUCUUCUUGAAAGUUUCAGAAGUCUUGCGCAGUUACCAAAGUUGAGAUUGUUUCUUCCAGCAGGUGUAAAAAUAGCAGCAGAGGAUGAAAUCAGCCCUACGAAGAAUUUGUACAAACUCUUCACUACACAGCAAAACCCUAUUUGUGUAUUUAAUUGCAUCGUGAAUGCCAUCCUUCUCCAGCUCCUGUUGUCAUAGCUAGGAUAUAAGAUCAUAUGCGAAGCUGACUACAACUACUGUCUCAUACUUGAGAAUAAUGGGGAAAAAAACCUGAUAUUUAUGAAUCUUAGGUCUGUUUUAUGUUUUAUAUCCAGUCUUUUCUGUGGUAUAAGCACUGAAAACUGUUUUCCCUUCAUCUGGGGAAGAUGCUGAAAAGAAAUGAUUCUUUCUCUUUAUUUGGCCUGGAAAUUUUACAUAGAUUGUAAGCAGCAUGGAUAUUUGUAAGCAGAUACUUGGCCUUGAGGGCAAAGCAUGCCAACAUCAUUAUGUUUGCGGUGUACGUUUCUCAAAGAUUGGCUGUUUCUGGAGGGACAAAUGCUGGAAGAGUUAAAUGUCAGGGAGCUGUUGUCAGUGUUCUUGAUGAGGGUCCUUGACCUUGGGAUCUUGCUCCUAACAGAUGCUGUGACAGAGCCUGUUUGUCUACACGCCUUCAAAGCCCUCUUCCACGCCAAUUGCUUUGGAGAGGCCAAUUCUUCCACACUGCUAAAAACUGCCAGAAAUCCACUGGGAGCUGAGGGAGUGCAGCAGAGCUGGGCUCCGGGACGUGGUGGCCUUUCUUGCUGUUACAUCUCGGUGAAGAGGUGUCCCCACAGCUGGUUACGUGUGCUUCUGCCUUGUGCUUUCUGGAAGGCUGCAUCUCCAAAAUGUAAAUGAAAAGUAAAUGUUCAGUGCGUAGCUCUGCUAUUGUCAUUGUGUGUCAUUGUACCCCUCCAAUUUGGUACAGUCAUCUGUUUAUUGUAUUGAAUUGUAUAAAACUGUAUGAGAUUAGGAGGUUUGAUAGCUGGGGUCGCAGAGUGACUACGAGUGCUCUCUGGAGGCUGAGCACAAAAUCAUGUGAACCAAACGGUUGUUAACUGGAAGAAGGAAAGCUGCUCCUUCCCCUGUAAUAUGUGUUGGUCUGGCUUGAAGAUAAGUGAUGCACCAGGUGUGGAGGGCUUAGUGACAUGUGCUGAUUUGUUCUGCAGUUUUGUGACUCCAUUAUGUCACCAGGCGUAAAAUUUGAUAAGGGAUCUUUAUAGGAUCCUCAGCUUCUAGUAAUUCUACUAUGCUGUGUUCUCUUUCUGAUUUUGGUAGCUGAGCUGCCUUUCAGUCUGUUGCUGGAAGGUUAACUUCUGGUCUGGUCAGUCUUGCCUGUUCCUCACCAAAGGCUCUGAUACCGUCUACAAAAUACCAGUUCUCUUACACCUAUGAUGCUGUCUCUGAAGGUUUGGAUGAUUUUGGACAAGAACCAGUAUAAACACCUUUUGUCUGUAGAUAUUUAAUGACAUUCUAUGGUACAGGUCCAAAAUGCCCUCAUUCUUCAGGUAUUUACAUCACCAAGAAAUGCAGAAUUUGACAUUAUUUUAUCAGUAAAAAAAGUAUCCACUGUAUCCUCUUUAUAUUAUUCGUCAGACUUGUUCCUGGAUAAGAAGAUGCUGGUUCAAAGCACAGUUUUAACACAAUUGCUUGCGAAUCUGUAAAAUAUUGUUGCUGUUCUAUGUUUCAGUAUGCAGAGCAGUUGUUCAGCUUAAGACUGGAAAGGGGAGAUGGUGCAUUUCACCCUGAUGCUGUGGUAGUGAAUAUGGGUCAGUAAUAAAUGAAAGCUGUUUCCAUCUGAUGGCUGUUCAGUCACCUGUGAAAUGUGGUUUCUAAUAGACAGGUUUCCAGAAGCAGCCGUGACAAUUAGCGGAGCAGAACCAGCCCCCUUGUCAAAGAACUCGUUAGAGUGUCUAACAAGGACAUCAUGCCUCAUCUUAGCCCAAAACCCAUCCUGUCAGCUAAGUGUUUCUAAACACUUCCAGCACAGCAAAGCGUGAUUGCUAAUCGUCCUCUGUCUGCUUGUGAAGAAAGGCCAACAAUGCACUGUCUCUCCUAUAAAGACUUAAUCCAUAAAAGUAGAAAGUAGUAGAGUGCACAGCUGUGUCGAUGAGGUCCUGGCUCCAGCUGGAGUUGCUUGCAGACUGUUCAAAGGCUUCACUGGAUUUAGGCUUCCAGCUUGUGGAAGCAUUAGGGAGGUCAUGCUGUAUCUCCUGGUGAAGCUGAUCACGUCCAGACUUGAUAGUAGUUAGUGAUAGUCUGGCGGAGAAGUUAGUGAUUAAUUUUAACAAAUGAGUUUCCUUUGAAUGUAUGCUCAUGCAUACCAAUGACAAUAGUAUGCCUGUGAUAAAAUAGAGGUUAUUUUAUUUGUUUAAACUUCAAAUCUGGUAGUGGCUGAUAAUUUUUUCUAGUGUCUUAAAAUGUCUGUGGGCAGCCUCAUUGCAGGAAGAAAGAAACAAAACCAAGUGCCCAUUCUUCCCCUGAACAGCCUAAAUACCAGUGAAAUUUUCACAGUGGUUACAAAAUAUUUUCGAGCACUUAAGGAAUAUUAAACAUUGUGUGUUGGACAGUCUGGAAGGCCUCUAGUGUCUUCAGCAAAUGCUUCGUCCCCUGAAAUAGAUUAGAGGUGUCUCACUGACUUCAGGUAGACUUUGGGUCUAACUUGUGUGGUUCCUAGUUGGUAUUCCGACUGCAGGCUCUUUUCAACAGGAGACAAUAAAGUUGGGUGGUAGGAAGCAAAGCUUCUAGGAAGCAUACGUGAGUUAGGUCGUAUUUUGACGUGCUGAGAAAGUUGGUUUGAAAGCAAAGCCUGCUUGGGCUAAAUAUAUCAUAUGGCAUUAUAGAAACAUUGAGAAUAAGAGGAGUGCAGGAGUUUAGUGAAGAAAAUUGCAUACUGUUAUUAUCAAAGAAAGCAUUGUACAGUAUGGGGUCUUUAUGGAAACCGUGGUUCUAGUAUAGAAAUUGCAUUAUAGCUGCAUAAACAAGAAACAUUAUUUCUUAAGAAUACAGAUGUGGUUUGGAGGACCACAUGCUUGUAGACAUUGAACUCUACUAUAGCACAGCACAUGGGGGUGCAGGGCUGCGAUCUGAUUAGCUUGAUUCCGCACACAGCACUGCUGAAGGGCACAGAAUAUCGAGCAGUUUUACACUCAUGAGUUUGUGUGACAGUAGCUGUGUGGUGUUGACAUUUUCUACCUAAUAUGCCACCUUUUUUCAGGAGCUUAUCGUUCACCCAUAAAACACAUGUUCUGUUUUAAAGCCUAGUUAAAAGGUCUGCUUAGUGCAAGGACAAGUUUUACUAAAUAUAAAAAAUGACUGCUUUGACAAAGUGGAGAUGUAUCUUUUUUCUUUUUUGAACAUGCAUGGCUCUCAGUAGCCUUUGAUUCAAAAGACAUUUCGGAAAAGAUAUUUAGAAAACUGGAAGUCCGUUUAAAAGAUUUGUUUCUUUCAUUAUCUCGACAAACCUUGAAAAGUAGUUUCCGUGCCUGCAUAGUGAUUAUGUUUCAGAAAGAGUUCUUAGGGAUUUUAUUAUGUGCUGAAACAUAUGUUUAUAAAAAAGACUAUAACCUGGUGGAAAAAGUGUCUUAUAAUAAUAAACCUGUCGAUGGGCCAUAUGCUGCCAUCAGUAUGUUUGAAAAAAUAAAUUCUUGUACAAGUGUUAAGUAAGUUUACAGCCCAAGUGUUAAGUUGGGGUCAGGUUGUGGCUGGUCCUCUGUGGAUUACUGGGGGAGGAAAGUGCCUCUUCUCAUGCUCUUUUCAUUAGCUCAUGCACUGAUACAGUGAGGUAGAGCAGUGUAGCACAUCCUCCCAAAGGGCACUGGAGCCUCCUAGUAGGAACACUGUGGGAGACCUAGAGAGGCCCUCCUACAGCUCUCGUUGGAGCUCUGUAGGUUUGUGCCAGUCCACUCUAGCGUUGUGUAUUUUAUAAGCCUUGAUAGAGAUUUGCAUGGUCUCUCCCAAGAAGCAAACAUGUGAGGUAUCAUGAAAGAAUUGGAGAGUCUUUGGAAAGGACCUUAAAGAUCAUUUAGCUCUAAACUGCCUGCCGUGGGCAGAGACACUUUCCACAAGAUCAGGUUGCUUGAAGCCUUAUCCGGCUUGACUGUCAUUAUCAGCAUGUAAAAUAUGACAAACAGAGCUCUGACAAAUACAUAACUGGAUGAGAAGUGUGGAAAAAAAACUUCAAUUCUUCCUAUUUUCUGGGCAGAUUGUUAUAUGGACUUCUUUGUGCUCGUUUUACAAGUCUUUAAAUGUAGGUGCUGUGAUGGUUGCAAAGCCUUUUGUUUCUGAAGAGCAAAAGUAAGUUGCAGUAGGUCAAAGAAUGUGUCCUUGUUAAAAGGCUCUUCUGUGUGGGAUCAGUGUUUGGUAAAUGUAGACACUUUCAAGCCUAUUCUGCUUUUGAUAUACUCGCAUAACUCCUAUGAAUGGGAGUCACGCAUGUGUGCAUCUCAAAAAGAAUAGGCCUCUUUGUAACUGAGGCACUCUCUGUGUAGAAACCUACUUCACUCGGAAGUGGUUUUAGUGUCCCGAUGUUUUCCACUACUGAUCAGCUGUGCAAUGCUUAUUUUUCUGGUGACUCUGCAGGUGAUAGCCAUUGUCAAAGGAAAUAUCAAAGACAGGAGAAUUACUUGAAGCGGUUGACCAUGCCGAAGGCUAUGUCAAGAGAUGCGUGAGGUUGCCAUAGUAUCUAUUAUCAAAAUUGAGAUUGUGAACAGAGCCAUUCCCACCAGGAGCAAAUUCCUUACUCAGAAUCUUUCCUGGGUUCAUCAAAGCUUUGAGUUUACUCAGGGGAAAUUUGAUUCUUGAGGGCUGAGAUCUUCCCCGUGGGUUUUCUACCCAGAAGCUUAAUGAGGUAUAUUGUGUCUGUGUGUACGUGGCUCCCAGUUUUCAGCAGGCCCUUGGAGAUGGAGGGAAUGGAGCAGACAGAGGAAAUAAGCUGCAAAAGAAGCUCACAGAUCACAGCAAAGAAUUUGCAAUUGCUAUUGAAAUGGAGAGUAGAUUGAAUCAGUAAUCCACAGAGAAGAGGGGAACUUGAGAGUUAUAGGGAUAUUCUCUGGAAAAAUAAGGCAAGUACGGAUUGAAGGAGUGGUGAGCAGACAGCAGCGAGUCUGAGGAGAAAUCCAUCAAUGGCUAGUGCUUAGCUUUUCACUGAAACACUUUGGUACUGGCAAAGCUUGGAAGCACCACUGAACCAUUUCUCUUCAACAUGGGAAAAUGUAGCUACCCCGUGGAGGCCGUCAAGUCUGGCCAAGUUCUUACACCCUGUUGGACCUGAAGGAAGGGUUGUGGGCUUUGGCACUGCCUCCUGAGCAUAGCUGAUGAGGUGAUGAAGGAGCCUGCAGUAGGCCAGACUGGCUUGUCUACAGUAUAUGCAAGCCAGCACGUGGUGUUAACGACUGCAGCGCUUAGAUUUUGCACAAACCUACACUGAGUAAUAAAAUAGCCUGCAACUACUCCAAGGCACCACUAGUAGCCAAGCAAAUUUGGAAUGUCUAAGCCAACCAUUUUAAAGUUAUGAUGAGCCAAAAAAAAUUAGGAAACAGUCCAAGAAAUGGAGAACACUUUUCUGGAACUCUCAUAUCUCCAAGAUGCCUUGGCCGAUCUACCUCAGACUUUUCAGAGAAGCUUUCCUUGGCACAAGAUCAUGACUGUGAAAUUUCAUGUGGCAGGGCUUUACUUUGUUGAAGUUAUGAAGCUUAAAACUGAAGGCUGUUAUAGAAAGCUAAUCUCUCCGUUAGAAAUAUUUCUGCAUAUCUGAAAUUCCUUCCUAAUUGAUCACUGCUAUUUCUUGUUUAGGCUGAUUGCAUUUUUCCUAUUUAUUUUAGAUUUUUUUAUUAUUAUUAUUUUUGGAAGCAUGCAUUCAGAACAGUAUAGCGCAGAGCCAUGUGGAGUAUGGCUGUGUAUGGGCAAAUGUGGUGAGACAGAAACAUUAGCUCUGUCUCUAUAUGCAUAGGAGCAGGAGUUGGAGAGCCUUAGUUCUACCUCGUUAUAACUGGAGAGAGGUUUAUAGAGUAUCUGGUUCAAGAUCUCGCUGUUUCACAGGUUUUACCUCUGUGCUUGGCAGAAAGGAGUCUCUCUGUCAACCUAGCUUUAGUCUCUCUUACUUGCAAGAAAAUGUCUGGUUGGCUAACUUGUCCAUCUUGCUCCUGCGGUGGAAAGCUAUGAAGGUGCCAAUAUCCUAAGACUGGCAACAGUGUUCUCCAUGUAUGGUCUUGAACUGCUCUUCUUUGUUUCUAAACAACUAUAGUCUGAGGUGCUUAGCUGCUAGAAUUACAAAAUUUUAGAUGGGCAUUAGAAAACAUUCAUCAUCCUGAAAGCGCUGCUUAUUUCUCAAGUUGUGGGUGUCUUGGCUGAGAUUUUAUUCUAUAUAGAAGUUAGGCCUGUAAUGUACCAUCCUUUUAUUCCACUCCAAGUACUGGAUGCUGUGGGGACCAAAGCAUGAUGCUGCAGAAACUUGCCAUCGUUAUGCGAAGCCAAAGGGAUGACAUUGAGCAAAAGCCUCUGAAUGUGCUGUAUUUAAAGACUCUGAAUUAAUUUGACUGAGUCACUUUAUUGCAGGGCAGAACAGAUGUCAAGAUGGAAUGAGCCCUCACCCUGAGGCAGCACUUGAGAGUGUUUGAUGUUGAUGCUUGAUUGUGUUUUUCUUUCCUGAGCUAGAGUUUAAAAGCACCAGGAAACGUUCUGGAGAAGUCAGGAGGUGCUGCUUCUUGAAGAUCCAAUGUCUGUUCCUGGCAGGAUCUGCUGGUGCUUGCUGCUUUGAGUAGGUGCAGGGACAGUCUUUGUGCUGUUUGCCACCUGUACUAGGGGGAGGUAGCUCGUAGCCUAACACACCCCAGUACAAACAUAUAGUUGUCUGAACACAGUACAUUAUCAUGGCUUAAUUCCUGAAAGAGAGUGCCUGCAUAAAAUAUGUAUCAAAAGGUUUUCUAUUUGCUCAGGCGUUUUUAUUAUUAGGAGCUCUAAAAAGAUGAACGCAGCCAGCUAAAAAUCAAUCUGCUGCUAUAUAGACAGACAAUGAGAAGAGUGCAGGGUGGGUGUAACUGCUGUUUAAACUGGUGAUCAGAUAUACUACUACAUUCUGCAAAAGCUGCAAGCAGCAGAGAAACCCUGCUGAAAACUCCCGAACCACAAAAUUAAAAUAAUCAAGCCUUGCAGUCAUUGGAAUAUACGUUGGAUUUGCAAGGUCAUAAGACAGAUGAAGGCGCAACUACUACUCAGUGUAGACAUAGAAGUUUGCUUUUGCUGUGCAGCGCAGGCUCUUAGAUUUUUAAAAUACCAACUAUUUUGAGUUGAAAGUGCCCUGAAGAUUCUUCAGGUGGUAAUGCUAGUGAAGCCAUAGUCAUCAAAAAGGAAGUGGAAAAUAAGACAUGAGGGUGCAAGUAUGCAUCUUUUGAUUACUGAGCUAGCUCAGGCAUUGCUGUACAUCUCUGUAGUGCUCUGCAUAGAAUCCUUGAAUGAUUCCUUCAGUAAGCAAGGCCACAGUGGGAGAGAUCACCUUAAUGCAUUUUUACUGUCUUGGCGUUUCCAGGAGUAGUGUGUCUGCAAUUUGCAGACUGCCAAACUGCAAAGCUUUGAGUUACUACUGGUGCUGCUUUAUCCUGUGCUUGCAGGUGGAAGUUUCCAAGGAGCCUUAUAAACCCACUGCACAAGCUGAGAGGAGGGACAGAAAACUGCAUAGCCUGCGGAACUGCAAUGUUAUAGCAUUACCUGCUGCUGCAGCAACCCCCAGCUGUGCUUGGAAAGGCAUACCAGUACCAUGGCUAAUUGGUGCAGGCAGCCAAUAGUAAUUCAUUCCCUUGACUAUUGAGCAGUUGAACAUGGCUAAGAUAGACGUCUGAUCUAGCUCGAAAACUCAGUGAAGCCAAGUUUUCUUACUAUAUGUGAUUUGUCCCUCCCCUAAACUGUUUGGAAUCAUCUGCAGAGAAGUGUGGUUAGUAAUAGCAAAUCAACAAGAGGAUUGCUCAUGACCUCAUGCCAUUCGUUUCUCAGAAAGUAAUAUGUGAUACCACAUCAGCUCCACUGUGGCUAUGGGAUUUAAACUGAAAUUGACUUUCUUUUUUUCAGAUCUGUAAAAGAAAACAGUUACAUUUUUGACUUUUUGAAAUGGAAUACCUUUCUAACCAAAAUAUGCCUCUCAUUUUCCACCCAUCUGAAGUGAGGUUACAAAAGAAGAAAAUUGCAAGCCUCAUACGUGAAAAGCACUCAGAAAAAUGUCAAGUGACUUGGAAACAGACAUGCUGAAAAAUCACGUCGUCAACAUAAAGGCAGAUUGGGUCAAGACUUAUAGCUAGGGUGACUGUUUCAUAAGUCUUGGAGAGCGUUCAAGAUAGGACUGCUGACCUUCCAGAGGUUUUGGAAAUCAGGGGGUGGUUAUAGUGGCAUGGUAAUGCUGGAAAAAUAGCCAUAACUGUGAUAUGGAGACAGCAUUCACCUGUUGUGGCUGAAAGGCUGCAGAAAUAGUAGCUGUAGAGAGGUACGUAGAAUGCAUAAAGUGUAUAUUAUAUUAACAGUGUUGCAUUUUCCAGGAAAGUCAGUGCUUUCAGACAGCAAAUGUCAUAUGGUAAAAGUCUAUUUUUUUCUCUGAUUUUCUGAUGUCCGAGCCAAGUGAAACUGAUUUUAAACUAAAGACGCCAAUGUGCCCGUUUCUUACAACGGUGUGCUUGGCAGAGAAGCAAUGCAUUAGAAUUUGCAUACACUUGGGUUCUGUGACUCCUGGAGAGGAAACCAUGUGUGUUACCUAAUGCUGGCUUCUCUACAGCAUGCCCUUGGGAAUGUUCUGUGUAAGUGGCUUGAAAAUAUGUGAUCAUUCUCUAUGUGCUUUUCUACUCUCCUUAUGGAGACUCUGGCAUUUAGAGUGUCUGCGGUCUGGGGUAUUGCUUUUGCCAUAGCUUUUAAUGGUUAUCUUCCGCCUUAAUGGGGACCUUGGCACAAUGAUGGCAUGGAAGGUUUAGCAGGCACAAAUUCUUACCUGCGUGCGGUGAUGAAGUUAGAAAACACAUCAGAAGAGUCAAUGUUUCUGUUUGCUUGAUCCAUAGAAAUUCGGUUGCUUUAAUUUCUGUCCUCGUAAAAAAUCAUGCAAGUCUGCUCGUUCUUUCAUCAAAACUGAUUCAUACCUGAGGGACACUUGUAAUUUGGAAGUAAUUAGUGAAUAAGUCAGAUAAAUACUAUCCAUUGAGAUUCAUGAAAGCACGUUGGACAGGAUUCAUAAAGAGCUGUAUCGAAUUUCAACAAUUAAAGCUUACAAAAUUAUCAGUAUGGUAAGUCCAUUUCAUCACAAAUGAGUUCAGUGUUAAUGACCUCUGUCUUCUGAGCAAUCUGAAGAGAUUUCACAAUCUCAGAAAGCGGCUAAAGUAGAAGGAGAAAUUCUGUAAAAGUUGAGCAAAAGUGUGACUGUAUCCGGCUAUCUGGUUUACUUACAAGCUGCAUUUAUUGCAAACUGAUCUGCUACACAGUUCUUCUUAGAUUCAUCUUUAAAUUGUAAAGUCUUCUACUAUGGGACUCUGAGAUGCUGCAGGAUUGUAGUGUAGCUCUGUAGCGACAUGUGGAUGGGCUUCUGUGAAUGCCCAGGGCUAUGCCAUUCCUUCCUGCAAAACAUGAAGUAUGAUAACUUGAUGUCUGUUGUGACCUCUUCCCAAGCUCUAGCAGAGCUUAUACCAGGUGCCAUAUAUGAGGUUUCAGGGACUGUUAUUCAUCUAGCUCACUGUAGUUACUGGAAAUACCAUGGAAUUAUACAACGCAUAGAUAAUUAAAAUGAGGUACAAGUUGCAAUGGAUUAAGGAAAUAUGCUGUUCCUAUACUCUGCUUUAGUGAAUUGGUGCAUUUUUUUAAUCAGUUAGUCAAAGUGGGUAUAAUAAUCGGUAGGACAAAUGAUGACCAGAACAAGAAUCUUAUUGCUGCUUGAUACAAUUUGUGAUUGCUGCCAGUAUAUUUUUUUUUUUUGUCUUUUUAUACCCAUCUUUAGUGUGAACUUCAAUGUGUAUUUCUCCCACUGGUUCAAGGGGGAAAAAAAAAAAAGGAUCUGAUGGAAAUGGGAAAAUUCUGCUCUGCUUGCAGGGUGCUGUGUAGCACACCCAUAUCUGCUUUAGUAUUUUUAAUUGUAAAACUUCUCUAUCAACAUUACUGACUUGAAAUAUAGAUGCAAAUCAGGAAAUGAAAGGAAGAAUCAUCUAGAUGUUAAUAACAUUAAGCAUGAGCUCUUCGAUCAGACUAAAUGCUCAUUCAUUUAGUCUCUGAACAGGACUGAAAAGCCAUCAGCAAAAUAGGUUUGACAGGAUUGGGUGUUGCUACGGAGUCUAUGUUAAGACAAAGAUUUCUUUCUCAGAACAUUCUCUUUUUGUGCUGGCAGAGGAAACCUUCUUUUGAUCGAUUUAGGGCAGUGAAUUGUCUUCACUUUAUUACUUACUCUUUGCCUACAGCACUUAAAAGCUGCAGAUGUGGAUUGGGGCUGUAUUUUACAAGACAAGGGCAAAAACACGUGGAAGUUUGUCUCUGUUCUUACCAACGUUUUUCCUGAUUCUGUGAAUGGUUGCUGUCAGUGUUAUCAAUAGGCUCCCAGAGUGGAAGAGUGUGCCAUGGAGAAGGAAGGGCUGAGAGAACUGGGGUUGUUCAGCCUGGAGAUGGCAAGGCUUUGGGGAGGCCUCUUUACAGCCUUUCAGUACUUAAAGGGAGCCUAUUUAAAAAAAAAAAAAGACUGAUUUAUUACAUGUUCUGAUAGUGAUAGAACAAGGAGGAAUGUUUUUAAACCAGAAGAGGAAAGAUUUUGAUUAUUUAUUAGGAGGAAAUUCUUUACCCAGAGAGUGGAUAGACACUGGCGCAGACUGCCCAGAGAAGCUGUGAAUGUCCCAUUGCUGGAGGUGUUCAAGGCCAGGUUGGAUGGGGCACUGGGCAGCCUAAUUUAGUAGAUGUCCCUGCCCACAGCAUGGGGUUGGAACUAAACCAUCUGUAAGGCCGCUUCCAACCAAAACCAUUCCGUGAUUAAAGCCAGGAACCUGAAGAGAUGCCAGCACUGGCUCCAGACGGACUUAUGGGAUAUGCAAACAAGCAGGUGAGCGUGCUAAGGAACAGUGGGCAGAUCCAAGCUACAUCUUGCAACAGCCAGGAGGGAGCCUGCACCCACACCUACUCAGUUGCCAGGAUGCCACUAGGUAGUGGUAAAGGAGAAAUGAAAGUUUCAGGCAUCUUCCUGAGAGGGUGGAUGGUGAGAGGACAUGUGUCAUUGGUGACUUGAAGGAGCUGCUGCUUUUUGUGGGGCAACCUCCAGUGCUCCCCCUGUGAGUCCUUAUCCCUGCUGAGGUAGACCAUUUCCCUUACCUUCCUCCUUUUCCCCCAGGGGAAUCACGUUCUUCUCAGCGGAGCAUGCAAAAGAUAGGCUUUUUUAAUGAAAUCAGCAGUAUUUCAAAGAACUGACUAUUGGCUGAAGACCAAAGAUGACAUAGCAAGCAUUUGAAAUCCCAAAUAAAGAAUUUUAUGAAAAUCUUGCAAAUUUCACUUGUUGAAGAAUUGCAGGGAGGGAAUGGAUACUGAUUAACUUCAGACUUCAAAGUCAGUAUUUAAAUUGAGAAUUUUUCCUCUGGAGGUAAAGGCAUGUCAGCGACCUCUGCCAGCUGUCUUAGUAAUAAAUGUAUUUUCUAUUCCUCGGAUUCAGCUGUAGUAUCCUAUAAAACUAAAAAUACAAAGGUUUAGAUUCCACCGUCUCUUACAAUGGUUAAAAUUAGCACCAAAUGCUAAUUCCACUGAUGUAUCCCGGGAGGAUUAGACCAAAAUAUUAUCCUGUUAUUUCAACUUCUAUAGCAAAAACAACAAAUGCAGCUGUCUCGCAGUCCAGCCAGCUCUCUCUCACAUUUCACCUCAGUUUCUCACUGUUGUAAUGCUGUCAGAGCUUUCAGAGACUCUUAAUUUUUUUUUGUUCAACUUUCCACCUUGUAAAGUCCUUUGUACUUUGUAGGGAGUGAAUGGCAAGCUCUAGGCAAGAAGAUUGGCUCUACUUCAUGCGCACAGCAUGUAGGCACUAAUGACUGCACAAAGGGUAAAGCUAUGGAGAAGCCAACCAGCAACCUUGAUCUGACACUAUUCCUUAUGCUGGUUCCAUGAUGAUAGUCCUCAGAGAUCCUGUUUCUCUGCAAAGUUUCCAGUCAGAGUUUUAAAACAAGAGCCUGCUUGCCUGCUUUCUGGAACAAAUGUAGAAGUACAGACUAGAGCCUAAUAAAAAAGCUGCAAGAAAUUGAUGCCAUCAUGUUUGGUUACACAUGACAUCAGUAUAUUGGCAUGGGCUGCUCCUAACUGCGGUUUUGCAGGAGGAAGGGAUUAAAACCUCCUGUGGGAAGGGCAGGAUUAGUCCUGCAGAAACCAGGCUGUGCUGAAGAUAGGCAGCAACUCCUGCUUCUGCUUGCAGACUUUUGGCACCGUCCCUGCCUGUAGUUUGGAGCAUCUCUGCAUGGUGUGUGCAGCGACAUUCCCAGGUGGAAGAGGGGAAAGUAUGUGCAGCUGUUCUGGAUUCUAAUCCAUUGCAAAGCUCAGUCCCCAGUGUUGCAUGGGGUUGCAGGGGAGCAAGGGUCCUGCUGCUUACCCAGUCCUCACAGUUGUUACGGAAGCAUGCUGGCCAUCUACUGAUUGGGUGACAUAGGGCAGGAUAUCCUGGGACAGACUGUCUCCCAACAUGAGGGGAACUCACCUGGUGGGUUUGAUUCUGAUGGGAGGAAGUUUUUCCUUCCAGUUCUCACUCCUUGGUGCUGUGGUAACCCAGCUUUCCCGCCCUGUGCACAGCUGGACUUCCUUCCUGCCCAUCACAACCUCUCUCUCUCCCUUCCUCUCCUUCCUUUCUUCUGUGCUCGCUUUAUCAUGGACCUUCCCUUGACAGUAAAAGUAAAUACCUUAACGAUGUGUAUAGGAAUGAGUAGAAGAUCAGAGAAGAAGUGGUGGCCAUCAGUCCAAUGGCUUUGUCUCUACACUGCUCUUUUAUUUCCAGCCAUCUUGCUCUUUCCUGCAAAUGCCCAGCAUUAGGCUUCUCAGGAGCCUGAUGCUGAUCAGAUCCUCUGGGAUCAUGAUCUGAGGAUCAUGAGGAGCUCCUGGAAUGGUGGGUAGAGUAGGUGCCAGCUAUGUUAUGAGAAUUACUUUUCAGUACGACUGUAUGAUACUUACACCACUUUGUAGUUUUUGAGGAGACCAGGAGUGAUUCACUGCAAAGUUGUUCUGAAUGUUAACGUGCAGGGACAUGUGCAUUUCUAACCCUUAGUUAUGAAACUGAGACUGUGGUCAGCUCAUAACUAGUCUGUAAAAGACAGAGAUGGCGUUUUCACUCUCAGGAGUGUUGAAUCUCAGCGUGUAUUGGAGAAUGAGAUAAGGUGUGGCAAGCGGGGUGGAUGGAGUUUGACCUGUGAGGUGCAGUCAGUCCCUGCGGUGCCAGGUUUUCCAUGGCUUUUGAUGCUGUGAUGUUCAUUGCCGUUGGCAGUGGCAAAGCUUGUAUGUGAGGCUAAGAGUGAGUACAGUUAUUUCUACUUCCCUGUUGUCAACCCAUGCUCACAUACAUGUAUGUAUCCAGGCUGGAUGUGGCUCUGGGCAGCCUGGUCUGGUGGUGGCAACCCUGCACGUAGCAGGGGGGUUGAAACUAGAUGGUCAUUGUGGUCCUUUUCAACCCAGGCCAUUCUAUGAUUCUGUGUGAUCUCUGGGCAGUGCUGGAGGUGCCGUGUGCGUCCUGUAGGAAAGCGAUAGCUGGCCCCAGUGCCAGGCAGUUUGAACUUGAUAGAGUGUGGAGGGAGGGUAUCAGAGGCACAGAAAAUGGUUUUGACCUCCCACUAAAACCUGGAGAUUUACACUUCUAAGUCCCCGUGCUCCUACAGAAUAAUCUGGGACACGUUCCUUGGCAGAAGCCCCACUGAGCAUUUCUCCAGCUGCUAGGUUGCCAGCUUGAGUGAAUUUUACUGCAAGUCUCACUAUGUUUGGUAAUUGUUUUACAGCCUGAGCUACUGGAAAUGGGUCAUUAGUAACAAAUGGAAAAAAAAAAAAAAAAGCUAUCCCCACUGCCCCCCUUCAACUCGAAACCCUAGGUUUUGUCAUAGAACCUGAAGACAGGCACCCUGCCUGCCU